UCUGUAUUGGGUGUACUUACAGCAAAACCGUACUGUACAAAUUGUGCCAAAUUCCCACCAUGUCCUAAAUUAUUUCAAAAGGUGAAUGCAACUCUAUUUAUUACAUCUAGGAAUUAUUUCAUGUGUUCCAUUUGCAUUCCAUUUGUAUUCUAGUAUAUGUUAAAUUUCAUCUUAGGUUUUUAUGGAAGCACAUGAGUGAUUAUUUGUAUACACUUUCAAUAAUAGUUUUUCACACAGGGUUGUUUCAAUCUCACCAGGGAACUGGCUCAAUCAGUUAGGAAAACCUCUCAUUUUAGUCUAUGCUUUAAUUAACUUUCCCAAAACCCCUUGUCCAACAGACGUAUAUUGAUUAAAUAGUUCAGCCCCACUGCCAAUCAUUACAUAGUCUGAAUGGAAGUGGUAAACUGCUCAAUAAACUGUUAGCACCAAUACCAUGGCUGAAUCAACAUAGGAACCAAAGACAAUCUGAGGGGGGACAGCCUUUUAUAAUAACACUGGCCCCACAUAUGGCCUUAAAGGACCACUCUAGGCACCCAGACCACUUCAGCUUAAUGAAAUGGUCUGGGUGCCAGGUCCAGCUAGGGUUAACCCAUUCUUUUAUAAACAUAGCAGUUUCAGAGAAACUGCUAUGUUUAUGAAUGGGUUAAGCCUUCCCCUAUUUCCUCUAGCGGCUGUCUCAUUGACAGCCGCUAGAGGCGCUUGCGUGCUUCUCACUGUGAUUUUCACAGUUAGAGCACGCCAGCGUCCAUAGGAAAGCAUUGAUAAUAGGGUGGGUGGGGGCACCCUCAGGGCACUAUAGUGCCAGGAAAACGAAUAUGUUUUCCUGGCACUAUAGUGGUCCUUUAAAUCAAAACCAGAUGUUCUGUGGGGAUCUGUGUCUCCUUUACCGUUAGUUCCUACACUCAUACGUUGCUGCUACCACUUCAUAUACAGCCCAAUUCAAGCUGUGGCAAUAAUUUCACAAACUGCUGACAGAAGAUGCGUAUAUGACCACAGUAAGCUAUCACCAGAGCUGGAAAGAAUUGUCCAUCCAACAGAGUUAUCCACUAAAGUGAGAAUUGUCAGGAAUUUAGAGUGAAUUCAAAGUAAAUUUCAAAUUUUAGACCAAAAUUGCAAUUCCAUUAACUGGAAGCUUUGCUGACUUGGAGAAUUUUUCAAAUUGACAAUUUUGGCCUUAAAUUUGGAAUUCACUCUAAAUUCCUGACAAUUCUCACUUUAGUAAAUAACCCUGCCAGUUGUGCAUGAGUAUUUUCAUGCACACCAUAUGCAUAAAUUGUUUGAAUCUUUAAAAGUAAGACUACGAGUAAAAUUCAUCCUUUGAUGUCACUGAAUUAUGUUACGAAUUCUAAACCACUCUGUGCAGGUAGACAGGGAGCAAGGUCUUCUCUGCACCACAUAUUUUGCAAUGAUGUAAGCCAGGGUUGCCCAAUAGGUAGAUAUCUAGAUAUUUUAAAACUACAGCUUCCAUGCUGCUUUGUCAUUCUAAAGGCGUGCAAAGCAUCAUGGGAGUUGUAGUUCUACAAGAUCUGGAGAUCUAUCUUCUGGGCACCCCUGAUGUAAACUUUUUAAGGUCCUUAUAGUAAUUCUUUAACUUGCCUUCAGUCUGUUUUCUGUAGCCUAGGAAACACAGAAACUUUAUAUUUAUUAUUUCAGUUGCUUGGUGAUGUAAUUCCAUAUACAGAGGCUCUUUAUAUCUCUAUUAUUAUUUUUUUCAUACGUCUGUCCAUUCUCUUUCUGCUGGGGUAUCUCAUGUUCAUAUCCUUCUGAUACCUGCACCUCUCUGAAACUAUAGAUUGUGUUAAGUAUUUAAUUCAAUACACUAGCAGAAUAUGAUAUAUUGAAUAUGAGUUCAUUUUUCAUACAUUAUUAUUAUUUUUAUUUUUGUUAGCUUUCCCAAACAUUGUGCCUUCCUCCAGCAAGCACACGGUGAGCAAUACAUAGCUUUGUUCCAGUCUCUACGUCUGCACGGCAUUACAGAGAGUGAGUGUAUCUUAUUACUUCACAUUUAGCCCAAUAAUAGGAAUAUUAGAGAGAGAAACCUUGCCAGUAAUUCUUUGUUAAGUGAAAAAUAGGGCUAUACGCUGGAAAGGAUCUGACAACACUUACCAUUUCAUCAUAGACAUGUGCAAGGGGUGUGCUGUGUGUGUCCAGGCCUACAGUGAGCAGGGCUCUCGCUACCAUAAGGGGGUACAGGUUGCCACCUUAGGAUGCACUGGCCCAGAGUGCACAAUUUACAGGUGACAGGCAGGACAAGGGUAUGCAGAGCUUCCCGCUAGUCACUUUACUUUGUGUUGCCUUCUGGACCAGAGAAGUGGAUAUUUUGACACUCAACUGUUUGCUGGAGGGGAAUUAAAAGCACGCAGAAACUUUCUGUCAGAUCAGCUAGAAAAAUACCCUCUACUGCAGUCCAUGAGGUCACCCUAGAGACAGUGUGAGAGAGAGCCGCAAAAAAACACAGGGGCUUGAGAGAUACAAAGGUGGAGAGACACAAAAGCAAGACAAGCGGUGAUAAGAGAUACGCACGGAUGGUAAGUGAUAGAAGAGGGGCAAAACAGGGAUAAUAUACACUAAAGAGGGGUAAGACCUUCGAUAGGGAGGAUAAGAGGCAAAUAAAGGGUUAAAAGACCACAAAAAAGAUAUAAAGACCCAAAAACAGCAAUGACAAUGAUAAAAAACGAUAUACAGUCCUCAAAAGAGGGAAACAAAUACACAAAAUUGGGGUAAGAUUCACAAAAAGGGAGGUUGAGAGACACAGGCCUAAACAGGCACAGACUCAUUAUGGGGGGUAGGUGGGUGGCAAAUGGCAAAAAUGAUUUUCGCCUGUGUAGCCAAAACUCCUUGCACCAAUUUGUCCUGUCUCCUAUUUAAGAUGAGAGACUGACAACUAUUUUCAGACAAUGUUAUCAUUAUAAAGCUGUAUUAAUAUUGUUUGAAUACUUCUGUACUAUUUGUGAUUGUGGUUUGAAGGCACACUCAAAGCACCAUAACCAUUACAGUGCAUUUUAGAGGUUAUGGUGCAAGGAGUGCCCUGACUCCUCCCCAAAUGUAAGUAGCCAAACUUUUUCCUUCUACUAGAGGUUUGACUACCCUUAAUAGGGCCAUCAUGGCAGUCCUGGUACCAUAACCACUACAGCACGCUGGUUGUGGUGCUUAAAGUGUUCCUUUAGACACAAUAUUUUAUAACACAUUUAUAAUACAUUUUAUACUACGAAAAUACUGUAUUAGGAAGAUAAUUUCCAAGAUAGUGACAGUUUGUUACAAUUGGUUUGCCAUUUCUUGGUGACAAUAUUCAUGGAACACUGUUCUGAACUGAAUAUCCAGUGUGGCAUGAAAUAAAUAAUUUCUAACUUUGCAGAUCACAUGGAUAAUAAAUGGUCUACUGCUACUGUGUAACCAGUGUGUCAGUGAGUAGUAGUGUGACAGUUGUAGUGUGACAUCAUCUGUAGUGGUACAGGUUGAUCAUCUGGCUCACUAGAUACACCCAUUGAAUCAAAACUGGGGAUAAAUUAGCAUUAUAGACAGAAUUCUUAAAAAAAAAAAAAAAGCCGGAAGUGCUAAGAAGGUUUAUGUUAGUAGUUUACAGUAUUCCUAGAGACAUCAACUAUUCUUUGAAUAAAUGUCCAUCAGCCUUCAUGAUAUGGCUGAGGGUUUAUGUUAAACUUUUGCUGCUUUUUUUGUACACAAACACUUGACAUUCACUGCAAUGUGGGACUGUCUUACAGAUAAACAGAUAGAAGUGAUCACACAGAUAAAUAUCUUAC